CAUUUCUCAUUUUUCAAACAUUUGUCGCGGCCUCCUGCCUGGGUGCCAGGAGCUCUCUUAACAGUUUUUUCCCCGUUUCGAAGGCCCUCCUCACUUCUUAGACCCACUGAGGAGACCCUUCUGGUCUUGCCGCCCCGAUUGUUUGAGCAUCUUAUUACCAGUCUGGAUCCUAAGUUGUGUCCAACUCUUUUGCAACCCAUGGAAUGUAGACCGCCAGGCUCCUCUGUCCAUAGGAUUUCCCAGGCAAGAAAAGAAUAGGACAGCUGGGGCUCAAGGUGAGGCAGUGACGUGUCCAAGGUCACAAACGAGCACCGAAGCAAGUUCUAUGACCCAGGCACAGUGAGAGUUUCCUUCUGCUGCCACGUGGAGGCUGGAUUUUAGCUCAACGUUGGUUGCGUCAUGCUGCCACAGGCAAGUCUUCCCUAGACGCUGGCAUGCAGAAAUGGGGAAAGACCUAUGUGAUCCUGCCAAUAGGAUCGAAAUGAGCUCCUGAGCGAAAUCCUAAAGGAUGGGGAAGAAUCAGCUUAAGCAGUGGGCAAGACAGGGCUUUUUUAGUCCGUGGGACAAACAAGCACCCAAAUCCCCAAGGCACAAGCAAUUCAGUGCCAGCAGGAUGUCAAGUGGGGGGUGGGAAGCAGC
ensembl:lncRNA